rnacentral:misc_RNA from 1 species
UCGCGGCUUAUCACCGGCAGUCCCCUUAGAGUGCCCAACUGAAUGAUGGCAACUAAGGGCGAGGGUUGCGCUCGUUGCGGGACUUAACCCAACAUCUCACGACACGAGCUGACGACAGCCAUGCAGCACCUGUGUACUGGUUCUCUUUCGAGCACCCCCUGAUCUCUCAAGGGUUCCAGCCAUGUCAAGGGUAGGUAAGGUUUUUCGCGUUGCAUCGAAUUAAUCCACAUCAUCCACCGCUUGUGCGGGUCCCCGUCAAUUCCUUUGAGUUUUAACCUUGCGGCCGUACUCCCCAGGCGGUCGACUUCACGCGUUAGCUUCGUUACUGAGAGUGUCAAACCCCCAACAACUAGUAGACAUAGUUUAGGGCGUGGACUAC